UGAACGCUGGCGGCGUGCCUACUACAUGCAAGUCGAGCGAACAGAUACGGAGCUUGCUCCUUUGACGUUAGCGGCGGACGGGUGAGUAACACGUGGGUAACCUACCUAUAAGACUGGGAUAACUUCGGGAAACCGGAGCUAAUACCGGAUAACAUUUGGAACCGCAUGGUUCUAAAGUGAAAGAUGGUUUUGCUAUCACUUAUAGAUGGACCCGCGCCGUAUUAGCUAGUUGGUAAGGUAACGGCUUACCAAGGCAACGAUACGUAGCCGACCUGAGAGGGUGAUCGGCCACACUGGAACUGAGACACGGUCCAGACUCCUACGGGAGGCAGCAGUAGGGAAUCUUCCGCAAUGGGCGAAAGCCUGACGGAGCAACGCCGCGUGAGUGAUGAAGGGUUUCGGCUCGUAAAACUCUGUUAUUAGGGAAGAACAAAUGUGUAAGUAACUGUGCACGUCUUGACGGUACCUAAUCAGAAAGCCACGGCUAACUACGUG
rnacentral:rRNA from 1 species